CAGCAUCUAGCCAAUAUUUGAACGAAAACAAUGAACCCUGGUGUAUAGAUCCGUUGCCAGAUUUCCUUGACUAUUCGAUGAAUACUCCUGUCCAGAAUAGUCAGCUAGCUUGUAGCAAUAAACAAAGUGAUUGGCAGGAAUGGGCGGACCUCGUAAUCAAUGAGGAAGAUGCUCUGACUGAAUACUCCUGUCGAGAAUAGUCAGCUAGCUUGUAGCAAUAAACAAAGUGAUUGGCAGGAAUGGGCGGACCUCGUAAUCAAUGAGGAAGAUGCUCUGACUUCUAAUUGGAAUGAGAUCAUGGCUGAUACAAGCCUUGCCGAGACAGA
rnacentral:lncRNA from 1 species